GACGAACGCUGGCGGCGUGCUUAACACAUGCAAGUCGAACGGAAAGGCCCUGCUUUUGUGGGGUGCUCGAGUGGCGAACGGGUGAGUAACACGUGAGUAACCUGCCCUUGACUUUGGGAUAACUUCAGGAAACUGGGGCUAAUACCGGAUAGGCGCUCCUGCUGCAUGGUGGGGGUUGGAAAGUUUCGGCGGGUGGGGAUGGACUCGCGGCUUAUCAGCUUGUUGGUGGGGUAGUGGCUUACCAAGGAUUUGACGGGUAGCCGGCCUGAGAGGGUGACCGGCCACAAUGGGACUGAGAUACGGCCCAGACUCCUACGGGACGCAGCAGUGGGGAAUAUUGCACAAUGGGCGGAAGCCUGAUGCAGCAACGCCGCGUGCGGGAUGACGGCCUUCGGGUUGUAAACCGCGUUCGCCUGUGACGAAGCGUGAGUGACGGUAAUGGGUAAAGAAGCACCGGCUAACUACGUG
rnacentral:rRNA from 1 species